CAAAAGCUAAGUUUAAGUCCCGCCCCCGGCGCGGUGAAAAUACGCAAAUAAAGGCGGGCCUAGUUCGGGAAGAUGCCGGAAGUGCUCUUGUAGCCAUCUUGAACAGCUGGUGAGCUGAAUGGAGUAAAGCUCUAAGGGACCGCUAGUGGACCCGUACCCUGUUCGGAGGAGUAGCUGGAUCCGUGAUGGAAACAUUUUUAAAAUAGUUCAAUCAGCAAUGCUGGCUCAAAAGCUGCUUCCGGUUCGUACUGCAGCACCGAAUUUCUCUCUCAAGAAAACUAACAGACCUGGUUGUCAGUGAACUAGGAUUGGUGAGACGGGUAUCAGCUGCUUAUUUAUUUUUUUAAGAUAAACUCUCAAACCCUUGCCACCACCUCCGAGAAUUAAAAAAAAAAAAUCAUGGCUUUAAACAAAAUAGGGACUUUAGCGUCUUUGGGAAUGGUGCAGGUAUUUCAUGUUUAAAAACCUAGUAGUUUUUUGCCUAGGACGCAAAACCCAUAUUGCCCCCAAAUUCUGGAAUCCUGAUGUAGGCCUUCAACAAUAGUGGACUGCACAUCCACUUAUUUAUUAAUUUUUUUAAUCAAACAGUUAUGUUUAUCUAAUACUAGAGAAGGUGCUGGCAAUAAAAGGAAAAAUAAUUACAUUAUCAA